GUAGCAGGGGUUUUUCAGUUGGUUGGAAAACAUUUUGAAUGCGAGGGAUUUAUCGAGUACUUACUUUUGGAAUAAAAGCGACACAGGCGUGUUGGACAUUCAAUUAGACAAUGGUCCCACCGAGAUUUGAACUCGGAUCGCUGGAUUCAAAGUCCAGAGUGCUAACCAUUACACCAUGGGACCGCUGUGAAAGAGUAUGCUUCAUUACAUCUUAUAAAUGUACCAAUAAAAAUAAAUCGAUAAUGAAAUUGUUUAUUGUUUGUUGAUAUAUAUACACAUAUUGUGGAUUGUUAUUAUUAAAUAUUAAAUAGCGUGCGUGGUAUAUGAAGUUAAUGUAAAAAUAAAUAUAGGUUAUGUAAUAGAGGUGCUCUUAUAAGUUUAAAAAUAAAUACGCCUCUUUGUUCAACGCUGUUGUUUGUAUAGUGUUUGAUGAAAAAAAGCAAUAAAGUGUAUUGUAUAUA